rnacentral:rRNA from 1 species
UACGUAGGGUGCAAGCGUUAUCCGGAAUUAUUGGGCGUAAAGAGCUCGUAGGCGGCUUGUCGCGUCGGAUGUGAAAGCCCGGGGCUUAACUCCGGGUCUGCAUUCGAUACGGGCAGGCUAGAGUUCGGUAGGGGAGAUCGGAAUUCCUGGUGUAGCGGUGAAAUGCGCAGAUAUCCGGAAGAACACCGGUGGCGAAGGCGGCUCGCUGGGCAGUGGCUGACGCUGAGGCGCGACAGCGUGGGGAGCAAACAGG